CUUCUGUAGGGUUGCUGUGGGUUUACUUUCGGGCCCUAUUCAUCUGAUUGCUCCCAUGCCUGAGAUGUCACUCAAGGAGGCUGGAGAACAGCAAAGAUGGGUGCCUGCUCCUUCCUCUGGGAUCUCUGACCUCAAGGGGCACCAACCUGAUGCCAGUAGGAACACUCCUGUAUAGGGUGUUGACACUCCUGUUGGGGGGUCUCACCCAGUUGGGUGGCAUGGGGAGCAGGACCCAUUUAAUGAAGCACUUUGACUGUGCCUUGGUGGAGGGGGGGUGUCCCACACUGGGGGAAAACCCACUCAUCUGGGUUGCCUAUAUUCAUCAGAACUAACAGGAAGGAUCACUAAGUUGGCUGGUCUGUGGAGACUAUGGCCACCCUAUCCCCUAGGGGCUCAGGCCCAGGGAGAUCAGAGUUUUGUCCCUGAGUCCCUGGCUGGAGUUGGAGUUCCUGCAGGGAGGCCCUGCCCAGUGAGGAGGGCUGGGUCAGGGUCAGGCCUGAAGACACACUCUGGCCUCAGUCUGCCACAGCUGGUGUGUUGGGCUGUGGGGAAUACCUCUUGGGACCAAGCCAUCCAGUCUCCCUGGCUCCAGCAGGGAAAAGCCCGGCUGGGAGCUGUAGAGAUGGCUGCCACCCUUUCUCCCGCCCUGGGAGCUUAGUGUAUUAGGCAGCUAGCGGUCCCAGUGUUGGCUGCUGCCCCUCCCCAAGGAGCUCAGAUGGCUUAGACAGCAGGCAGCUGCCCCUCCCCACUGGGGAACUCAGCAGGCUUAAGCAGAUUCUAGCUGAGUGGAUGUUGAGAAUCUGUGUGGCUCCAUGGUUAGGACCCUAGGCCCCAGAGGUGUGGACUGACGAGUGAGAUCUUCCGAUUUGUGGGUUGCACAGUUCCAUUGGAAAAGCACAGUUUCCCAGGCUGCGUAGCACACUGACUCAAGGGCUCCCCAGCCCCAUGUGCUUCUUAGGUGGCCCGCUGUACCACACCGCUCUUCCUUCCUCUCUGUGGGUCACACCAGCUGCCUAGUCAGUCGUGAUGAGAGAACCCGGAUGCCUUGGUUACCAGUGCUGGAUGCAUAUGCUGCUUUGGUUCUUCUUGAUGGCAGCCUUCAGUCACGGCUGCUUCUAGUUGGCCAUCUUGGCCCCACUCCAAAAAUCCGUUCAAUUCUUAGUUUUAUUACAAUCAAAUUUAUAUAUCUUUUAUUUUGUAACUAGUAACUUUUGUGUCUCGAUGAAGAAUUUGGUCCCUUUCCCAGGUCAUAAAGAUAUUUGCUUAUAUGUAUAUCUUCUGAACGUUUUAAAUUUUGCUGUGGCAUUUGGAUUCUUAAUCCAUUUGGAAUUGAUUUUUGACAGUAUGAGAUAGGGAUCCAUUUUCAGUUAUUUCCAUGUAUAAUAAAAAACCACCUUUUCCAGUGAAGGCAGGAUUUAAAUCUGGAUCUGUCCAACUUGAAAGCCCGUGCUCUUAAUCACUAUGCUAUUCCAGGGAAACAAUGGCAUGGACUGUUCAAUAAACAAGUGCAAGGCACCUGGGAGCACAGAAGAAUAAGGCACGGCUGCUACCUCCACUGUUGCUCCUUAGCAGAAACCAAGGGCUAUGUUGGAGCUCUCUUCAGAGACUUCUUUUCCUUCUAAGGUUUUUUUGUUUUUUUUAAAUUGAGAUGGAGUCUCACUCUGUCUCCUGGGCUGGAGUGCAGCAGCGUGAUCUCAGCUCACUGUAACCUCCACCUCCUGGGUUCAAGUGAUUCUCGUGCCUCAGCCUCCCGAGUAGCUGGGAUUACAGGUGUGCACCACCACACUCAGCUAAUCUUUUGUAUAUUUUGUAGAGAUGAGGUUUCACCGUGUUGGCCAGGCUGGUCCCGAACUCCUGAGCUCAAGUGAUCCGCCUGCCUUGGCCUCCCAAAGUGCUGGAAUUAUAGGUGUGAGCCACUGUGCCCAGCCCGCUGGAAUUAUAGGUGUGAGCCACUGUGCCCAGCCCCCUUCUAAGUUUUAUGAUAACAUAUUUCAGCUCAUCUUUUGGCAUCAGCAGAUCCACUGAGGGGUUCCUAUGGUAAACUCUGGGCCUCACUACUUUAUUUCUUGAAGGUUAAUGUGACGGUGUGAAAAAGAACAUAGAGCCAGACAGAGCUGGUCCUAAGGCUCAGUUCUUUCACAUAGCAGCCUUGGGGAAUUAAACAUUUUCUGAACCUCAGUUUCUUCAUCGAUAAGAUGGGAAUAAUAAAGCUUAUCUCACAGGGUAGUUGAGAGGAUUACAUAAAAGGUGACACAGAGGAGGUAGUCAACAAAUGUGUUACCCUUUUUUCUGUCCUAACACUGCUCCUCACCUGCAAGUUAACAAAUGACACCAUUUCUUCCAUUGUCUCCCAUUGAUUUAUGCCUACCCUUCCAUUUUUUGUCUCCAGCUAGCUUAGGCUUCCUUACCACAACCCCUUUCUUGGUCUUCUGGACUCUAGUAGCAGAAUCUAGAAUGGUUGGCAGUGUCAAAUCAAUGCAUUGCAACAGUAACAUACCCUCGAGCCUCACUUACGGGUUGUCUCAAGCCUAUGGCUGAAGAAUAGGGAUCAGAAUGUGCAUGUACCUCACAUUUCUGUAAGUUGAUCUUGCUUCUUAAGCUUUCCUCUCUCCUUUCUACCCAGAAGAUCGCCAACAGGGCCACUGUGCUCAGCACGUUCUUCCUGUGUGCAAGGCCUCCACUGUGAGCCCUGGAAUCCUGCCAUGCCCUGUACAGCUGCAGCACUUCAAACUCAUUUUUGCUCCUCCCUGCCUUACUGACUCUUCUCUCAUCAGUUUGGUUCCCUGAAGAUCACUCUACCCACUCUCCAUUGGCACCUGUCUUACAAACAUUCAUUGCUAAUAACAAUGAUAACAUGUCAUACUUACAUGAGGCACUUUGAUAUCUAUCAUCUUGAAGAGGAAGACACUUGGCUAUUAUUGUCCCCAUCUCAUGGAUUAGCCUCAAAGAGUGACUUGUCCAAGGUGGGCAUUACACCAUAGGCAAGUGGCAGAGCUGAUAUUGUAACCCAGAACCAGGGCUUCUGGUGUCAAGGUCAUAGCUCUUUGCAUUCUUUGUUUUCAACCAUAAACGUAGACCUUGACUAAUUGAAGCAAAAGAGAAUAUAUUGGAAGGGGACUGGAUACUGAGUAGCUCAUGGAAUUGAAGAGAGACAACUGAAAAAACAAGCCUUGGGAAGCUGAAGGACCAAGAUGGCCCCAAACGUCUAAGUAACAAGAGGUCACAGACCUUACCAUUGGACACCGUCAUUGUCCCUCUGCAACCUUACUGCGAAUGAGAAUCCUCAGUAGCAAAAGGGCUUAAUUCACUCAUUCACACUUCUCAUGGGGGUUUCAGCCCACUAGGACUUCUGCCUUGUGGAACGGUGGCUCACCUACAGAGCUGACAAAACUGGCAGAUGUCGAUAACACAGCCUCCUAGGACAUUAUCUCUUCUUGUCAUCUCCCCUCUGUGAGGUUUGAGAAUCUUGUCACUUCAGCUGGCCUGGGAGCUCCUACCCCAGUUUCUUCCAGGAAUUCCAUACACAGCGCUGGUACACAGCCAAGACUUCAUAAAUGAUCUUGGAAGGCUGAGUUAGGGAAAGAGUUCCUGUUCUCAGGGUCUUAGACUUAAGACAAGCCUUUUGGCUUUGUUUGAAUUUGCUUUCUUAGUAAAAACAAAAAGAAAAACAAAAGGCCAGACAUCAAAACAGAAGAGAAAGGCCUUUCCCCACAUGCAUUCCCAGGUGCCCAGAGCUGGCUUUGAGAAGCUUGAGUGAGACAGGCACACUCCCACUCAGUCCCUAAUUAAUUGAUCACCUCCAUCUGGUCAAAAUGUUUACUGCUUCUGCCUACUCCUCAGCAGGGAGGAGUCCCUGGUUCAGCAAAGCAGCAAGUGUGAAAGGGGAAAACAACAGCCCCCAUACAGCACAUGCAGCACCACGUCUAACCCACACUAUAGAUGUGGCUCUAUCUAUAGCCUUGUCAUCAAUCAGCAGGUGAUGAGGUGUGGGAGCCGCGCUGGGUCCCGUCACUGCCUGGGGCACUUUGCAAUGUCACUGCGUGCAUUCUUCAUCCAAGCUAAAUAGAGUGCUGGGUGGGGUGCUCUUUCUUGCACUAUUUACAAGCCCCUGGGAUUUUUCCUUAUCCCAAAGGACUGUGAAGGGAACAUGUGGACCUCAGCAAUUUCUGUGGUGAAGUCAUAGGGUGCUAGGAGGGCCACCUGAGCCUGGGAGAUUAAACCCAAGGCUACUGAGCUUUAAAGAUAGGGAUGGGGUUAAGGCAGAAAAGAGGCAGGAAGAGGAAAUUUGAUUCUUCUAAAUCUUACCUCAUUUAAACAUUUGUGUGGGAAAAUUCCAAUUAUGCUUCUUGACAGAGCAGAUUUUUACAAUGUUCCAAAUGUAAAAGUUGGAAAGAGGCUACAAAUGAAAACAAGUCGGUAAUACCUAAAGCCAAAAAUAAGCCAGAAUUAAUCAGAAUUACCUAACUAUCUCAGGCUAAGUGGAGUUCAAAUGAUCUGUAAUCUAGAAUCUAGAUCAACCUUCCUCUCACUCCCACAGAAAACUCUAGAAUGUGACAUUGGGAAAAUGCUCUGUCAUUUCAGAGGCACCACCUCCUGAUUCUGUGGUCCUGGCAUGUCAGCACCUGACUGUGGUGAUCUGAGAAAUGGGGAUAGUAAGGCCUGCCCUGGCUCCCCAGAUGGCUUCUCUAGAGAUGCAAGACACAUUGAUGUGAAGCAGAGCUCUUCAGAAGUGGGGCAAUGCUGGAAGCGGACGUUGUGGGGUGUUUGGUGGCUUCUCAGAACUCAUUGGCCAUGUCCAACCCCCUUCUCUUCAUGCCCUAUUUUUACUCCUCUUUCAAAUGUCCUGCUCUUCACUUCUCACCACAUACUUCUUCUUCGAGAUUCCUUUUCCCCGGUUCUAGGUCUUGGUUAAGAUUUCCCAAAGGUAUUUUCAUGGAUCCCUAGUCCCCAAAAUGGCCCACAACUAAAGGAGGUUCUAAGAACAAAUUGGUUUGAGAAACAACAAGCACCAUGACCGCCUUUCAGAAAGUACAGCUCUCAUUAGGCUCUGAGAAGUCUUGCAGGAAGGAAGCUUGUCUACCUGUGCUCUUUAGUUAGUACUUUCAUAAUUAAUUUGACCACAGAAGCCAUUGUUCAAAUAUCGCCUAUUAAUACCUCCCCCAAAAUACAGCUUGGGAAAUGUCCUAGAUAAUGAUGAUGAUGAUGAUAUGAUGAUGAUGAUGAGGCCCAUUGAUCAAACACUUACUACAUCAGAAAUAAACACUUAAUAACAUUUAACUCUCAGGCAACCCAGUGAGAUGGGUGGCAUUACCCAUACCUAGAAAGUGAGACUGAUUGACACCCAGGUCUGGCUAUUUCUGUUUUACAAAUAAGGAAAAUGAGAUGCAAGGAAGGUAAGUAUUUUGCCCAGUCUUAUAGCUAGUGAGUAGUGGAGUUGGGCCAUGAACCCAAGUCUUGUACCCAGGUCUGUCUAACUUUAAAGGUCCCACUCCUGAUCACCGCACACAUGAGCCUGUGGCUCGUAGGCUGAGUUCACACAUGGCUUCACACUGGAGGGGCUGCUCAGGCAUGGCCACCCCUCAGGAGUUUAUAUGAUGGAGGGUGGAAUUGGAUCCAUAGGCAGCCAACCUAGUGUAUGGCCCUCAGCAACCCAUAAAAUGGGACAGUCACACCCUCUGGAAUCCAUUGCAAUGGGACAGUCACACCCUGUUGCUGGAAAAAACAGGAAACCCAGAUUCAAGAGCUGGAGUGGUUUUGACCAGUGUGGUUUAACCAGGCAGCAGCCAUGAAGCCUGAAGUGCUCCAGAAUCUGUCCUUUCAACAAAUCUACCCCACCCUCCCAGGACCAGAGCUUUGCUCCUGCAUCCACAGUGCUCAAAGCUGCUUAGGUUGCCUGGCUGCUUUUCGCUAAUUGAAACCUGUUGUGGUGCCUGUUGCUAUAAACACUUGGCCAAUUUGCAUAAGUAUGUGACAUUAUAAAAGUUCCUGAAAGAUCUUAUCCACAUGGCUGGCACAGGGCCCAAAUGAAAAGCCAGGUAGACAAUGUGUGUGUUAUUAAAAGAAAUAAUAAUCUUGUUUAUGUUCCUUGUGCAGGUGAACAGGGCAAGAAAUGGAAAGCGUAUCCAAUCCAGAGGCACCAAAAUGCUCGGGGGUCGGGGCUGAAGGUGCCAGUUUGCCCAGAGGUCCGUCCUGAGACAGAUGGAUUCAUCAACAGUGCUUGGCUUUGAGAGAAGGGCACUGGAGAAGACUCCGAGGACACCCCUGUUCCCUCAGUGUUGCAGUGAGAGUCUCACUCUAUCACCCAGGCUGGAGUGCAGUGGCACAAGAUUUCAGCUCAUUGCAACCUCUACCUCUUGGAUUCGAGCGAUUCUCCCACCUCAGCCUCCCAAGUAGCUGAGAUUACAGGUGAGUGUCACCACACCCAGAUAAUUUUUGUAGUUUUAGUAGAG
rnacentral:lncRNA from 1 species